rnacentral:tRNA from 2 species
GCCGGUAUAGCUCAGCUGGUAGAGCAUCUGAUUUGUAAUCAGAGGGUCGGGGGUUCGAGUCCCUCUGCCGGCA